rnacentral:misc_RNA from 1 species
GCCAUGGAGGGGCUCUG